rnacentral:lncRNA from 1 species
GGUAGUUAAAUUUUAGCUUACUUCUUACUGUAUACUCUGGUAGAAACAUCUUUUCACUUGACAUCAGGAUCUCUAGACCAACAGAAUCUGAAGUUGCAGUGAUGGGAAGCCAAAUCACGCAAGUGGAUUACUAUGAGUAACGUGAAAUUGAGAAAAUCAAAUGAAGAAUUCGCCUGCCUCUAAUUGGGCCGAUCUUUAAUAAGGGGAAGCGGGGCAACAUUGAUACCUUUGAAGCAGUCAGCAGAUUCUCACCAUCAUGUGAUCAAGGCCACACUAAUGUGCUGGAGGAUGAGAGACCACAAGAAAGAGAUCCAAGCUGUCUCAUCUGUCCCAGCCAAGGCCUUCCUAGACUUGCUGGUCCCCAGUCAAACUGCCUGCUGAUGACGGAUAAAUGAAAUGAGUAAGCUCAGCUGAGAUCAGUCAAGUCUGGCUCAGACAAGAAAAAAUGCCCAUUUGGUUCACAGACUGAUGAAUUAAAUAAAUAUGUAUUGUUGUAUGCUACUGAGGUUUUAUGAUUUUUUUGCUAUGCAGCAUUAUGAUGGCAAUA